AUAACAGCUGCUAUAAAAAGGGACUGAUAACACAAUAGCAUUGAACAGCACAAAGCGAAACUUCCAAGUUAACAAGGCGACUUGUGUUGAACAGCAAAAUGAAGUUGGUGCUCUUGGGUUUAAGCAUUUUCCUGCUCCUGACAGCUGGCACAGAUGCCUUAUCUAUUAGCAACGACCGAGUGCGCAAUUACACGUAUAACCCGUUUGGCAACCCCCCCCUUGGUCUCAUAAAUGAUGACCACAGUAACUUAUUUGGCCAGUCCGCCGGCCAAAAUACUCUCCCCACAGAAUGAGCCGUCCUGACCCUGAGGAUUCGCCGUGAGAAGCAGUAGACACCCAGAGCGCCAAAGCGGCAGGAGUGCAUCAAGUCUGAAAUACUCUACCAAAAAAAAUCUGACUACAAAUUCAUGUAAUUUUGUUCGAGCUGUCCCCGACCCAUCUAAAAUGAGUCUGCGACCCACUUUUGUGCCCCGAACCACCAGUUGAGAAUCCCUGCUUUGCAAAGCAUUAAAAAAAAGAAAUAAAAAAACA